UACGUAGGGUGCGAGCGUUAAUCGGAUUUACUGGGCGUAAAGCGUGCGCAGGCGGCCCGUUAAGACAGGUGUGAAAUCCCUGGGCUCAACCUAGGAAUUGCGCUUGUGACUGGCGGGCUCGAGUACGGUAGAGGAGAGUGGAAUUCCAUGUGUAGCGGUGAAAUGCGUAGAGAUCAGGAGGAACACCGAUGGCGAAGGCAGCCCCCUGGGCCUGUACUGACGCUCAUGCACGAAAGCGUGGGGAGCAAACAGG
rnacentral:rRNA from 1 species